CCUACGGGUGGCAGCAGUGAGGAAUAUUGGUCAAUGGACGAGAGUCUGAACCAGCCAAGUAGCGUGAAGGAUGACUGCCCUAUGGGUUGUAAACUUCGUUUAUAUGGGAAUAAAAUGUUCCACGUGUGGGAUUUUGUAUGUACCAUAUGAAUAAGGAUCGGCUAACUCCGUGCCAGCAGCCGCGGUAAUACGGAGGAUCCGAGCGUUAUCCGGAUUUAUUGGGUUUAAAGGGAGCGUAGGUGGAUUGUUAAGUCAGUUGUGAAAGUUUGCGGCUCAACCGUAAAAUUGCAGUUGAAACUGGCAGUCUUGAGUACAGUAGAGGUGGGCGGAAGUCGUGGUGUAGCGGUGAAAUGCUUAGAUAUCACGAAGAACUCCGAUUGCGAAGGCAGUUCACUGGACUGCAACUGACACUGAGGCUCGAAAGUGUGGGUAUCAAACAGGAUUAGAUACCCCAGUAGUC
rnacentral:rRNA from 1 species